rnacentral:rRNA from 1 species
UACGUAGGGUGCAAGCGUUGUCCGGAAUUAUUGGGCGUAAAGAGUUCGUAGGCGGUUUGUCGCGUCCGUUGUGAAAGCUUGGGGCUCAACCCCAGGUCUGCAGUGGAUACGGGCAGACUAGAGUCAGGUAGGGGAGAACGGAAUUCCUGGUGUAGCGGUGAAAUGCGCAGAUAUCAGGAGGAACACCGGUGGCGAAGGCGGUUCUCUGGGCCUGUACUGACGCUGAGGAACGAAAGCGUGGGGAGCGAACAGG